rnacentral:rRNA from 1 species
CCUUGGCAACGAUGGUUAGCGGGUCUGAGAGGAUGAUCCGCCACACUGGAACUGGAAUACGGACCAGACUCCUACGGGAGGCAGCAGUGAGGAAUAUUGCGCAAUGGGGNAAACCCUGAGCAGCGACGCCGCGUGGAUGAUGAAGGCCUUANGGNCGUAAAAUCCUGUCAGAAGGNAANAAAUGGUU